rnacentral:rRNA from 1 species
UAUACAGCGAAACUGCGAAUGGCUCAUUAUAUAAGUUAUCGUUUAUUUGAUAGUGCCUUACUACUUGGAUAACCAUGGUAAUUCUAGAGCUAAUACAUGCUAAAAACCCCGACUUCGGAAGGGGUGUAUUUAUUAGAUACAAAACCAAUGCCCUUCGGGGCUCUUUGGUGAUUGAUGAUAACUAUACGAAUCGCACGGCCUUGCGCCGGCGAUGGUUCAUUCAAAUUUCUUCCCUAUCAACUUUCGAUGUUUGGGUAUUGGCCAAACAUGGUUGCAACGGGUAACGGAGGGUUAGGGCUCGACCCCGGAGAAGGAGCCUGAGAAACGGCUACUACAUCCAAGGAAGGCAGCAGGCGCGCAAAUUACCCAAUCCCGACUCGGGGAGGUAGUGACAAUAAAUACUGAUACAGGGCCCUUUCGGGCCUUGUAAUUGGAAUGAGUACAAUUUAAAUCCCUUAACGAGGAACAAUUGGAGGGCAAGUCUGGUGCCAGCAGCCGCGGUAAUUCCAGCUCCAAUAGCGUAUAU